rnacentral:rRNA from 1 species
UAGGGAAUCUUCCGCAAUGGACGCAAGUCUGACGGAGCAACGCCGCGUGAGUGAAGAAGGAUUUCGGUUCGUAAAACUCUGUUGUUAGAGAAGAACAGCGCAUAGAGUAACUGUUAUACGUGUGACGGUAUCUAACCAGAAAGCCACGGCUAACUACGUGCCAGCAGCCGCGGUAAUACGUAGGUGGCAAGCGUUGUCCGGAUUUAUUGGGCGUAAAGCGAGCGCAGGCGGUCAAUUAAGUCUGAUGUGAAAGCCCCCGGCUCAACCGGGGAGGGUCAUUGGAAACUGGUUGACUUGAGUGCAGAAGAGGAGAGUGGAAUUCCAUGUGUAGCGGUGAAAUGCGUAGAUAUAUGGAGGAAAACCAGUGGCGAAGGCGACUCUCUGGUCUGUAACUGACGCUGAGGCUCGAAAGCGUGGGUAGCAAACAGG